rnacentral:lncRNA from 1 species
UGAUUUAAAUUAAAAUUUUGAAUUUGAACUGAAAGUUUUAUUUUAAAUUUGUGUUUUAUAUUUAAAAGUUGAAUUUGAUUUAUAAUUAAGUUUUUUAUGUUGUUUUGUAUUUAAAUUUACAGUUUAGUUGUAAUUUGAAUUCCAACUAUUGUUGUAGGUAUUUGAAAAGGUUAUAGUAUUCUUAGUUGGAUAAAACCUAUCUUGUAGGCCAAAAUAUUUUUCUAAGACCAAAAUACCCUUUAAAUAGGUAUCUGGUGAAUGGUACUUAUGCCAAAAUAGUAGGUCGCCUUGAUUUACAUGGUGUAUUGAGGUAUUAUUCUUUUUUUUUUUUUUUUGAGAGAAAGGUAGCAUGUUACCCGCUUCGUUUUUUCAUUUAUAAAUAAACUUGGCUGAAAAUGUGAAUCAAUUAGGAUUCGAACUUGGGUCUCGGGUACCAACCACCAAGCCCUUUUGCCACUUGCGCUAGGGACAGUCGGUUAUUACUCAUAAUAUUAAAGCAGAUGCAAAGUUUCUCCUAUUUGAAAAUGGCAUAUAUACGUUGAGUAGGGUUAUUGUGCUAUUAGAAGCACAUAAGUCCUUGUGCUCUUAAUUUUCUAAUUAUUCAUUAAUUUUGAUGGAUGGUUAAAGAUGAGAGAGAAAAGAAAUUGAAAAAAAAAAUUAAAAAGAAGAGAAAUUGAGACACUCAAAUUCUUCUUAAUUUUUUUUCUCUCUUUCACCUUAACCAUUCGUCAAUUUAGAACGUUAGCAGCAUAAGGUCUCUAAUGAUUAUCGUUAUUGCUCUACGCACAAAAAAUU